rnacentral:rRNA from 1 species
UACGUAGGUGGCAAGCGUUUGUCCGGAUUUAUUGGGUUUAAAGGGUGCGUAGGCGGCUUUGUAAGUCAGUGGUGAAAUAUGGCAGCUUAACUGUCAGGGUGCCAUUGAUACUGCGGAGCUUGAGUACAGAUGAGGUAGGCGGAAUUGACGGUGUAGCGGUGAAAUGCUUAGAUAUCGUCAAGAACACCUAUAGCGAAGGCAGCUUACUAGGCUGUAACUGACGCUGAGGCACGAAAAGUGUGGGGGAUCAAACAGG